UUCUCACUCAUUCACAGUAAAGAUGACAGCACACGCUCUCAUUAUCUGCUCUCUACUGCUUUUCAUUGCUGAGUGUAAUGGACAGAUCACAGUCACUCAGAGUCCCUCAAUAACAGCUCAACCAGGACAACAAGUUCAAAUAAACUGUAAAACCAGCAGUAAUGUCUACUAUCACAGUAGUUAUGGACACUACUUGAGCUGGUACUUACAGAAACCUGAAGAAGCUCCUAAACUCCUCAUAUAUUUUACAAACCGCCUCCAGACUGGAACUUCAUCUAGAUUCAGUGGCAGUGGAUCUAAUAGUGAUUUCACUCUGACCAUCAGUGGAGUCCAGACUGAAGAUGAAGGACAUUAUUACUGUCAGAGUUUACACCUGAUCAACAGUAAAUGGUGUGUUCACACAUGUGGAAUGAUUGUGUUUCUCUCAGAAUAG